rnacentral:tRNA from 1 species
ACUUAUAAAGGAUAAAAGUCAUCCACUGGC